rnacentral:rRNA from 1 species
CUUAACACAUGCAAGUCGAGGGGCAGCAUGGUCUUAGCUUGCUAAGGCCGAUGGCGACCGGCGCACGGGUGAGUAACACGUAUCCAACCUGCCGUCUACUCUUGGACAGCCUUCUGAAAGGAAGAUUAAUACAAGAUGGCAUCAUGAGUCCGCAUGUUCACAUGAUUAAAGGUAUUCCGGUAGACGAUGGGGAUGCGUUCCAUUAGAUAGUAGGCGGGGUAACGGCCCACCUAGUCUUCGAUGGAUAGGGGUUCUGAGAGGAAGGUCCCCCACAUUGGAACUGAGACACGGUCCAAACUCCUACGGGAGGCAGCAGUGAGGAAUAUUGGUCAAUGGGCGAGAGCCUGAACCAGCCAAGUAGCGUGAAGGAUGACUGCCCUAUGGGUUGUAAACUUCUUUUAUAAAGGAAUAAAGUCGGGUAUGGAUACCCGUUUGCAUGUACUUUAUGAAUAAGGAUCGGCUAACUCCGUGCCAGCAGCCGCGGUAAUACGGAGGAUCCGAGCGUUAUCCGGAUUUAUUGGGUUUAAAGGGAGCGUAGAUGGAUGUUUAAGUCAGUUGUGAAAGUUUGCGGCUCAACCGUAAAAUUGCAGUUGAUACUGGAUAUCUUGAGUGCAGUUGAGGCAGGCGGAAUUCGUGGUGUAGCGGUGAAAUGCUUAGAUAUCACGAAGAACUCCGAUUGCGAAGGCAGCCUGCUAAGCUGCAACUGACAUUGAGGCUCGAAAGUGUGGGUAUCAAACAGGAUUAGAUACCCUGGUAGUCCACACGGUAAACGAUGAAUACUCGCUGUUUGCGAUAUACUGCAAGCGGCCAAGCGAAAGCGUUAAGUAUUCCACCUGGGGAGUACGCCGGCAACGGUGAAACUCAAAGGAAUUGACGGGGGCCCGCACAAGCGGAGGAACAUGUGGUUUAAUUCGAUGAUACGCGAGGAACCUUACCCGGGCUUAAAUUGCAGAUGAAUUACGGUGAAAGCCGUAAGCCGCAAGGCAUCUGUGAAGGUGCUGCAUGGUUGUCGUCAGCUCGUACCGUGAGGUGUCGGCUUAAGUGCCAUAACGAGCGCAACCCUUGUUGUCAGUUACUAACAGGUUCCGCUGAGGACUCUGACAAGACUGCCAUCGUAAGAUGUGAGGAAGGUGGGGAUGACGUCAAAUCAGCACGGCCCUUACGUCCGGGGCUACACACGUGUUACAAUGGGGGGUACAGAGGGCCGCUACCACGCGAGUGGAUGCCAAUCCCCAAAACCUCUCUCAGUUCGGACUGGAGUCUGCAACCCGACUCCACGAAGCUGGAUUCGCUAGUAAUCGCGCAUCAGCCACGGCGCGGUGAAUACGUUCCCGGGCCUUGUACACACCGCCCGUCAAGCCAUGGGAGCCGGGGGUACCUGAAGUGCGUAACCGCGAGGAGCGCCCUAGGGUAAAACUGGUGACUGGGGCUAAG